UUGAAACACCAGUUCCAGUAAGAUCAUUGAAGUUAAGCAAUGUUGAGCCUGAUCAGUACCUAAAUGGGUGACCACUUGGGAAUACCAGAUGUUGAAA